CAUUAGGUCCAUCUACAAGCUCAUCAGUUCGCCUGCACCACACUGUAUAUUGACAAACAUAUGUUGCCACUUGGGAGCACAAACUUCUGGAUUGAGAAAGAUGAUGACUCAAACAAGUUUGUUAAGUAAGUACGCAGCAGAAUAUUCACAGGUAAAUUUUUUUUUUUUUUUGUUCUUUGCGCAAGGAUUGUUUGCGUGCUCAGUAUCCAGUUCGGGAAAGAUGCUUCAUAUGCUCUUUCGUCGUCGUGCUAUCACAUAAAGAAACAUCAAACAUGAGUUUGCUGGGGUCGUCUCCUUAGUGAUUUCUGAGGGAGGGGAGCCAUACAAUGUGGAGGAUAGCAUGUGGGGAAAAUCUGUGGUGGUCCUAUAUUCUAUUUAGGUUCUAAGGACGGAAGAAGGAAGGACAUGGGUUGGCGUCUGGCACAAACCUAAGGGACACGAGAUUCGGUUAGCCCCAUGCCUGGGUGAUUUCAGGAAGGAACUCAUACUGAUCGUAGCAAAAGAGCACAAUAUGAGAAUUAAGUCUUCUCGUUUCGGCUAAGGGCCCGUUUGGAUGGACGCAACUAUUAGAAGUAAGAAGUGGAUCAAAGAUGUAAUUUUCUCAAUUAUGAAGUAGAAAGUAGCGGGAGUAAUACUUAUUUUGUUUGUUUCAUAUAUUUUUAGAAGU